ACCUUCUUGUUAAAAGCACUGUGCUAAAAUUGCAGAAACCAAGGCUGAGCUUUGGGCUCUGUAAUAAUGCUAGCAGAGUACACGCAAGAAGAAGAAAAUGCAUGCACUGGAUCAAAACUGACUAGGGUGGACCUCUUUCUUAAUGUCCAGUGUCCUGUGUCUUAAGAUUUGGUGCAACAGAU